rnacentral:rRNA from 1 species
AGUACCCCGAGGAAAAGAAAUCAACCGAGAUUCCCCCAGUAGCGGCGAGCGAACGGGGAGGAGCCCAGAGCCUGAAUCAGCAUGUGUGUUAGUGGAAGCGUCUGGAAAGGCGCGCGAUACAGGGUGACAGCCCCGUACACAAAAGCGCAUGUGCUGUGAGCUCGAUGAGUAGGGCGGGACACGUGGUAUCCUGUCUGAAUAUGGGGGGACCAUCCUCCAAGGCUAAAUACUCCUGACUGACCGAUAGUGAACCAGUACCGUGAGGGAAAGGCGAAAAGAACCCCGGCGAGGGGAGUGAAAAAGAACCUGAAACCGUGUACGUACAAGCAGUGGGAGCACAGGUUUACCUGUGUGACUGCGUACCUUUUGUAUAAUGGGUCAGCGACUUAUAUUCUGUAGCAAGGUUAACCGAAUAGGGGAGCCGGAGGGAAACCGAGUCUUAAUUGGGCGUUAAGUUGCAGGGUAUAGACCCGAAACCCGGUGAUCUAGCCAUGGGCAGGUUGAAGGUUGGGUAACACUAACUGGAGGACCGAACCGACUAAUGUUGAAAAAUUAGCGGAUGACCUGUGGCUGGGGGUGAAAGGCCAAUCAAACCGGGAGAUAGCUGGUUCUCCCCGAAAGCUAUUUAGGUAGCGCCUCGUGAAUUCAUCUCCGGGGGUAGAGCACUGUUUCGGCUAGGGGGCCAUCCCGGCUUACCAACCCGAUGCAAACUGCGAAUACCGGAGAAUGUUAUCACGGGAGACACACGGCGGGUGCUAACGUCCGUCGUGAAGAGGGAAACAACCCAGACCGCCAGCUAAGGUCCCAAAGUCAUGGUUAAGUGGGAAACGAUGUGGGAAGGCCCAGACAGCCAGGAUGUUGGCUUAGAAGCAGCCAUCAUUUAAAGAAAGCGUAAUAGCUCACUGGUCGAGUCGGCCUGCGCGGAAGAUGUAACGGGGCUAAACCAUGCACCGAAGCUGCGGCAGCGACGCUUAUGCGU